rnacentral:rRNA from 1 species
GAUGAACGCUGGCGGCGUGCCUAAUACAUGCAAGUCGAGCGAAUGGAUUAAGAGCUUGCUCUUAUGAAGUUAGCGGCGGACGGGUGAGUAACACGUGGGUAACCUGCCCAUAAGACUGGGAUAACUCCGGGAAACCGGGGCUAAUACCGGAUAACAUUUUGAACCGCAUGGUUCGAAAUUGAAAGGCGGCUUCGGCUGUCACUUAUGGAUGGACCCGCGUCGCAUUAGCUAGGUGGUGAGGUAACGGCUCACCAAGGCAACGAUGCGUAGCCGACCUGAGAGGGGGAUCGGCCACACUGGGAAUGAGACACGGCCCAGACUCCUACGGGAGGCAGCAGUAGGGAAUCUUCCGCAAUGGACGAAAGUCUGACGGAGCAACGCCGCGUGAGUGAUGAAGGCUUUCGGGUCGUAAAACUCUGUUGUUAGGGAAGAACAAGUGCUAGUUGAAUAAGCUGGCACCUUGACGGUACCUAACCAGAAAGCCACGGCUAACUACGUGCCAGCAGCCGCGGUAA